AGUGAACGCUGGCGGCAGGCCUAAUACAUGCAAGUCGAACGGCAGCACAGUGGAGCUUGCUCCAUGGGUGGCGAGUGGCGGACGGGUGAGGAAUACAUGGGAAUCUGCCCAGUCGUGGGGGAUAACGUAGGGAAACUUACGCUAAUACCGCAUGCGCCCUUCGGGGAAAGCCGGGACCGUAAGGCCUGGCGCGAUUGGAUGAGCCCAUGUCGGAUUAGCUAGUUGGCGGGGUAACGGCCCACCAAGGCGACGAUCCGUAGCUGGUCUGAGAGGAUGAUCAGCCACACUGGAACUGAGACACGGUCCAGACUCCUACGGGAGGCAGCAGUAGGGAAUAUUGGACAAUGGGCGCAAGCCUGAUCCAGCCAUGCCGCGUGAGUGAAGAAGGCCCUCGGGUUGUAAAGCUCUUUUGUCCGGAAAGAAAGCACUGGGUUAAUACCCCGGUGUCCUGACGGUACCGGAAGAAUAAGCACCGGCUAACUUCGUGCCAGCAGCCGA
rnacentral:rRNA from 1 species